UCGAGCGGAUCUUCAUUAGCUUGCUUUUGAAGAUCAGCGGCGGACGGGUGAGUAACACGUGGGCAACCUGCCUGUAAGACUGGGAUAACUUCGGGAAACCGGAGCUAAUACCGGAUAAUCCUUUCCCUCACAUGAGGGAAAGCUGAAAGACGGUUUCGGCUGUCACUUACAGAUGGGCCCGCGGCGCAUUAGCUAGUUGGUGAGGUAACGGCUCACCAAGGCAACGAUGCGUAGCCGACCUGAGAGGGUGAUCGGCCACACUGGGACUGAGACACGGCCCAGACUCCUACGGGAGGCAGCAGUAGGGAAUCUUCCGCAAUGGACGAAAGUCUGACGGAGCAACGCCGCGUGAACGAUGAAGGCUUUCGGGUCGUAAAGUUCUGUUGUUAGGGAAGAACAAGUACCGGAGUAACUGCCGGUACCUUGACGGUACCUAACCAGAAAGCCACGGCUAACUACGUGCCAGCAGCCGCGGUAAUACGUAGGUGGCAAGCGUUGUCCGGAAUUAUUGGGCGUAAAGCGCGCGCAGGCGGUUCCUUAAGUCUGAUGUGAAAGCCCCCGGCUCAACCGGGGAGGGUCAUUGGAAACUGGGGAACUUGAGUGCAGAAGAGGAGAGCGGAAUUCCACGUGUAGCGGUGAAAUGCGUAGAGAUGUGGAGGAACACCAGUGGCGAAGGCGGCUCUC
rnacentral:rRNA from 1 species